UUAACUUUCGAAUAUAUGUACAAUUAGGUCGUUAAGAAAUGUCACCUUUCAAAUCUCAUAAGGCGUGAUCAAAGACUCCUAGAUGCAUCAGUAGGGGAGAAUGGAGAGAAAUGGAGUGUUGGAGAAAGGCAACUUCUGUGCCUAGCAAGAGCAUUGCUAAAGAAGAAAAGAAUAUUGGUGUUAGAUGAGGCGACAGCUUCGGUUGAUGCAGCUACGGAUAAUGCAAUGCAGGAGACGAUAAGUCAAGAGACAACCGGAUGCACUCUCAUAACCGUGGCGCAUAGAAUACCUAGCAUAAUGAAGCAUGACUUAGUUCUCCUUUUAGACAACGGGAAGGUUAAAGAGUAUGACUUGCCAAGAAAAUUGUUUCAAGAUAAGUCUUCUUGUUUUUACAAGUUGGUAGAAGAAUAUGUGGGAAGAUCAGAAUCCAACUCCUUAGUAUAACAAAUUUAUACGCAAUGCAAUGUUGAAAUUUCUUGUAACAAAUAAAGUCCACCCUCCACUUACAAUUAGGCAGAAUAGAAUUCAAUUUCAUUUUAUAGAAUUAUUUUUUAAUAUUUCUAAUACUUCUUUUUUGUUUUUCCAAAU